UUAUGUUUUUUUUUAUUAAACUCAUGAAAUUAUAUUUUAAGAAGCCCAUGGACACCCAUUGUCCAUUUGGUCUUCGCCCAAUUGGACCGUGUACCAAUUGGUCUUUUGUCCAGUUGGACCAUUUAUUAAUUGGGCAUGUCCAUAGCCCGCCCAAAAUGAAUUGGACUGGGCUAGCCCAAUGUCAGCCCGCCCAGUUGACACCUCUAAUUAUUUGCAUCACCUUCUCCACUUCCGCAUCUUUCACAUAACACAGUGUAUGAUUGGA
rnacentral:lncRNA from 1 species